UCCUUCAAGCUGCUGGGACUGGGGUAGUCCCCAGGAUGCUGCCUCACUGGCUCCCCCAGCCCCAAACGCCCCACUUCCACAUCCAGAACGUUGUGGGCACUUUCACUUUGCCCUCUUCCCUCCGUGUAGUUCAUCCUUAGUCUGAGAGUCAGUGGCUCAGAUGGUCCUGUUAGACUUCCAGAGGCUUCUGUACCAACCCGGCCUACAAGCAGGAGCAGCAGGGCAGACCCCCUCACUGUACCCUCAGCAUGACACAGAUCCAUCUUAGAACCAGCCAGGACCCCAAGGUCGCAAACUUCUUUCUCCCCUUGAUUUCUCCUGAUGGAUGCCACCAUCAAGAAGUGAGAGCUUCCAGCCUGUGGGCAGCCAGCAUCCUUUCAACUCACCCACCAUUACCAUUAGACUUGAAGGCCAAUCUCUCCCACUUCCUUUCCCCCCAAUAGAGGAGCAGUGUAAGGCUGGAAGGUAUAAAACCCACCCAUCUGCUGACUCCGACUUCACUGAAGAAA